GCUAAUUCCUUGAACUUGGCUCCGCCGAUGAAGCUGGAGAGAUCCAUUUAGGUUACUCGGGCCCGUGUGGCCUCUUAACCUGGAUUCC
rnacentral:tRNA from 1 species